ACGAUUUAUCGUAUUGAGACCAAACCUGGUACAUGUCAUAACAAGCAUGACUUGAGGCUACUUGCUGCGUUUCGGCGCAGCGCCACCUACUGGUCCGGAGAUAUGGAAAAUUGCUAUUUUUGCUUAUAACUUCUAAACAGUUUGUCCAAAAAUCAUAACAUUGGUCUUGUUAGAUUCAGGGCAACAUGCCGAGUCGACUGAUAUCCAAUUUUACCAUCUCGGCCAUUUUGACUGUCGGCCAUUUUGAAUUUUGUGCUAAAAUGCUGUAUUUUCAGAACGCAUCAACAGAUUGUUACGAAACAUGGUAUGGGUCAUCAGUACAAUGUCCUGAAGGAGCGUGAGAAGUUUCGAAACAGCGCCACCUAGUGGUGAUCAUCCUUAUUUAAAUGCUUAUAACCUUGGGUGUGGUCGACUUAUUUUCUCGAGACUCACCAAAUUGGACUCCUGAAACCUUACCGAGUCCAACGAUACCAAACAUUCUAGGUUUCGCCUUACGGUUUGUGUAGCGUUGUGAUUUAGCGCUUAAAAAACAUCUGGCUAUAUCUUUGAAACCGCUUGUCUGAUCGAGACGAAACCACCGUCAGAAGUUCGGAAACAUAGGUCGAUAGCUAUACGCCAAUGCCCAAAUGCCAAAAUAUUGAUAGUAAGGGGUAGUAAUAUUCAAUCAAAGUCAAGAGUCAGUCAUUUUUUACGUGCUUUUUCAUAUAAAUGUCUAUAACUCUGAAGUGAAUUGAGAUAUUUUCACCAAAAUUGACACACAUAUGUAUGGGCUCACUCUGAGCACACAUAAAAAAAAUGGUGGGACUGAGCCUCUUGGUGGCGCUAUAAUAGAACAAAACAUGAAAUUCUCAUUGACUUCAAUACAGUUUUGUGAAAUAAAAUGCUAUACUAAACAAAUGCAUUGGUGUAAUAUUACGAAACUCAGAAUGUGCCAACAACACCAUCCCCUGAAGGUACUCAAAAUAUUUUGAAACACCGCCACCUAGUGGUCAACAGUUAUAACUCAAUUUAAAUAAAGGCUAAUAACUUUUGAAUAAAUCUGGCUAUUGACAUGACGCUGGUCUUUUUAGAUUCCUUGGGUCAAGUCGAGAACAUAGAUACAAAGUUUUCCUUAUUUGGCUGAACUUCCUGUCCGCCAUUUUGAUUAAUGUUGAAAACUUACUUUUUCGAACUCCUCCUAGACCGUUAGUCAGAUUUUCACCAAAUUUGACGUGGAUCAUCUUCAGACCAUGCUGGCAAAAUGUUAUGGAUUUCUUUUCGAUAUACGAAACUGUUCUCAUUUAGCGCAUCAACGAAGCUGCUGGAAGGGUUCCAAAAUGCAUUUGAGGAUGUAUCUCAGCAAAGCUUUGACAUAUUUGCACCAAACUUUGUAUGUGUCAUCGUCACCUCACACUGACCAUUCCAAACUAAUUUGGUAACAACGCCACCUAUUGGUUACACGUGAUAAGCAAAUAAAUCGUAUUACUAGUUGUUGUGUUUAUUGUUUUCAAGCCAUUUUGCCUAAAAUAAUCUUAAAACUUUCUUAAUUACUCAUUCCUGCCGUUCGUCUGAAGCUUGCUUCUGUAGUGCUUGGCCCCGUUAUUGCUGCUUGCAGCUAUAUUUAUUAUUAUUCUUCUUCUUCCACCCCAAGUCUAUGGUAGCCCAUAGAACCGAUUGCGGGAAAGUUGUAUAAUUUGGCACACUAAUAGAGGACUGUCUGAACAUUAACCGUAGCAAAUUUGAAGUCUCUAACUCCAACUCUCUAGCGCCACCAAUUGUCUAAACUUUCAAAAACUUGAUGCUAAUAACUCUUGAACCGUAAGCCACAAAAUGAAAAUUCUUUUUUCCUGUGAUUCCUUGGCUCAUGCCGAGUCGAAUGGACACCGAAAUUCAAAAAUCGCAAGGCUUAGUUUUUUCGCUAUCGUCAAUUGUUCGUAAAACCUACUUUUUCGAACUCGUCCUAGGCCGUUGCACCGAUUGUCACGAAAAUUGAAUCAGAUAAUCUUCAGACCAUGCUGGCAAAAAGUUAUGGAAUUCAAGUUGAUUUCUCAAACCGUUUCCGAAUAGCUCAUGAACGAAUUCUUCGAAAAGCACGCAAACGUGAACGUGAGGCUAUAUCUCCGCAACGGUUUGGCCUAUUGAGACCAAUCUUGGUGGGUCUUAUAACAAC